GAAAAAAAAAAAAGAGAAAGACAGGAAUAAGGUGUCUGAACUUAGCAAAUGAGAAGGCAGGAAGAGAAAUGGUCUGGUUAAUCCGCUCCAAAGGUCGAUUGCUCGUAUCAGCAACAAGGCUAUUCCGGGCACCGGUCGACUCUUUUCAUUGCUCACAUUUCUCCGAUCUUCCUGAUCACUUUGUAUGCGGUAUAAUAAGAAAAUGGCUUCAUUCACAGGAAGCCCCCAGUUUCACCUUUGAAGGCGUCAAGCAGUUCCAAUGAACUACAAGAUUUUACAGGCCCUAAAGUGGAAAAUGAAAAUAAUUCUGGUGAAAGGCUGCACUUGUCUGAUGAGUUGAAACAGAGAUUUCUGAGUUUUAAACAGCACAAGCAUUUGAAUAUCCCACUUAGCAGUUAGAUUACAAUAGAGAUUACAAUUGAGGUUUUCCUUGAUUAGAAAAAAAAAAAGGAUUUUUUUUUUUUUUUGUAUUGCUAGUAAAUUUUCCAUUUUAA